rnacentral:piRNA from 1 species
UCUAAAGGAACUACUUCAUCCUUAAUUGU